UGAUCAAUCCAUUACCAAACAAUCAUGUAUAGCUGACCGAAUAAGUUGCGAGUCCCAUUAAGCUGCUAACAAAUAGGCCCUAAGUGAUAGAUAGGCUCCUUUGGUUUAAUGAUCUUAUGACAGGAUCUAUUUAAAUCCAUGACCUUCUAACAGGUUUAAGAAUAUAAUUGUUUAACAAAAGAAUGCCAUUUCUAUAUACAAGAACGCCUAGAAACCUGUCACAAGGUCAUGAAUUUAAAGAAGCAAUUGUCAGUAGGUCAUUGAUGUGAUGGAUAUGCAACAGGACCCACAUCAAUUUUGUGUUUUCAAAGUACCAAUAUUUCAGAUUAAAAGUCGAAACAUAAUAGUAUGGUAGGAUCUAGAGAAAAGAAUUAAGUGAUGAAUUAUCUGAGGUUACAUUGAGAUGUUUGUUUGCCAUAAUCUAGCAGUUGUGUUGUGUAGUUGUUAAUUGCUCCAGCCACACAUCUUCCCAUGACUCCAUCUUCAUCCUUGCAGUCCCCUGCACACCAUCAUCUUCCAAUGUUAUUCCUUCAUUCAGAGGUUAUCAGGGGUAUCAAUGUAAUGAAGCGGUGACGACCAAUGAUAUCUGAACUUGACGUGAUCUGCCCACGAACAAAGAGUAGCCAGAUCGCCCUCUGCAUACUCAGGUUGCGAAAUGACCAUCGACACCCCAGCCCGUAACGGUGGUGGUGACGGAUAAGAGACACAGUAGCAGCAAUGCAACAGGUUUGAAGGAC